rnacentral:rRNA from 1 species
UCCGCCCGCUGGCGGCGUGCUUAACACAUGCAAGUCGAACGGAAAGGCCUCUUUCGGGGGGUACUCGAGUGGCGAACGGGUGAGUAACACGUGAGUAACCUGCCCUUGACUUUGGGAUAACUUCAGGAAACUGGGGCUAAUACCGGAUAGGAGCUCCUGCUGCAUGGUGGGGGUUGGAAAGUUUCGGCGGUUGGGGAUGGACUCGCGGCUUAUCAGCUUGUUGGUGGGGUAGUGGCUUACCAAGGCUUUGACGGGUAGCCGGCCUGAGAGGGUGACCGGCCACAUUGGGACUGAGAUACGGCCCAGACUCCUACGGGAGGCAGCAGUGGGGAAUAUUGCACAAUGGGUGGAAGCCUGAUGCAGCAACGCCGUGUGCGGGAUGACGGCCUUCGGGUUGUAAACCGCUUUCGCUCAUGACGAAGCUUUGUGUGACGGUAGUGGGUAAAGAAGCACCGGCUAACUACGUG